GGGCCCGCACAAGCGGUGGAGCAUGUGGUUUAAUUCGAUGAUACGCGAGGAACCUUACCAGGGCUUAAAUGUAACGGGACAGAUCUAGAGAUAGAUCCUUCUUCGGACUCAUUACAAGGUGCUGCAUGGUUGUCGUCAGCUCGUGCCGUGAGGUGUCAGGUUAAGUCCUAUAACGAGCGCAACCCCCCAUCGUUAGUUGCCAACGAGUAAUGUCGGGAACUCUAACGAAACUGCCGGUGCAAACCGUGAGGAAGGUGGGGAUGACGUCAAAUCAUCACGGCCCUUACGUCCUGGGCUACACACGUGCUACAAUGGUCGGUACAGAGAGCAGCCACUACGCGAGUAGGAGCAAAUCUUCAAAGCCGAUCUC
rnacentral:rRNA from 1 species